CAGCCGCCGCGGUAAUACGGAGGAUGCAAGCGUUAUCCGGAUUUAUUGGGUUUAAAGGGUGCGUAGGCGGGGCAAUUAGUCAGUGGUGAAAUCCUGCGGCUUAACCGUAGAAUUGCCAUUGAUACUGUUGUCCUUGAGUAUAGUUGAAGUGGGCGGAAUAUGUAAUGUAGCGGUGAAAUGCAUAGAGAUUACAUAGAACACCAAUUGCGAAGGCAGCUCACUAAGCUAUUACUGACGCUGAGGCACGAAAGCGUGGGGAGCGAACAGGAUUAGAUACCCUGGUAGACCACGCCGUAAACGAUGAUCACUCGUUGUUGGCAAUACAUCGUCAGCGACUGAGCGAAAGCAUUAAGUGAUCCACCUGGGGAGUACGGUCGCAAGAUUGAAACUCAAAGGAAUUGACGGGGGCCCGCACAAGCGGAGGAACAUGUGGUUUAAUUCGAUGAUACGCGAGGAACCUUACCUGGGCUUAAAUGCAAAUCGACGUCCGGGGAAACUGGUACUCCCUUCGGGGCGAAUUGCAAGGUGCUGCAUGGCUGUCGUCAGCUCGUGCCGUGAGGUGUCGGGUUAAGUCCCAUAACGAGCGCAACCCCUAUCGUUAGUUGCCAGCGGAUAAUGCCGGGGACUCUAACGAAACUGCCAGUGUAAACUGUGAGGAAGGUGGGGAUGACGUCAAGUCAGCACGGCCCUUAUGUCCAGGGCUACACGCGUGUUACAAUGGCCGGUACAGAGGGCAGCUACCUGGUGACAGGAUGCAAAUCUCGAAAACCGGUCUCAAUUCGGAUCGAAGUCUGCAACUCGACUUCGUGAAGGUGGAUUCGCUAGUAAUCGCGCAUCAGCCACGGCGCGGUGAAUACGUUCCCGGGCCUUGUACACACCGCCCGUCAAGCCAUGGAAGCUGGGGGUACCUGAAGUCUGUAACCGUAAGGAGCGGCCUAAGGUAAAACUAGUGACUGGGGCUAAGUCGUAACAAGGUAACCGUA
rnacentral:rRNA from 1 species